AGCAGUCGCCGCGGGAAUACGAAGGGUGCAAGCGUUAAUCGGAAUUACUGGGCGUAAAGCGUGCGUAGGCGGUUUGUUAAGUCUGCUGUGAAAUCCCCGGGCUCAACCUGGGAAUGGCAGUGGAUACUGGCAAGCUAGAGUGUGUCAGAGGAUGGUGGAAUUCCCGGUGUAGCGGUGAAAUGCGUAGAGAUCGGGAGGAACAUCAGUGGCGAAGGCGGCCAUCUGGGACAACACUGACGCUGAGGCACGAAAGCGUGGGGAGCAAACAGGAUUAGAUACCCGAGUAGUCCCUGUCUCUUAUAC
rnacentral:rRNA from 1 species